CACCAGACUCCUACGGGAGGCAGCAGUGAGGAAUAUUGGUCAAUGGCCGCAGGGCUGAACCAGCCAAGUCGCGUGAGGGAUGACGGUCCUAUGGAUUGUAAACCUCUUUUGUCAGGGAGCAAAGGGCGCCACGUGUGGCGUUUUGCGAGUACCUGAAGAAAAAGCAUCGGCUAACUCCGUGCCAGCAGCCGCGGUAAUACGGGGGAUGCAAGCGUUAUCCGGAUUUAUUGGGUUUAAAGGGUGCGUAGGCUGUGAGGUAAGUCAGCGGUGAAAUGCCCCCGCUCAACGGGGUGAAGUGCCAUUGAUACUGCCUUGCUGGAAUGCGGAUGCCGUGGGAGGAAUGUGUGGUGUAGCGGUGAAAUGCGUAGAUAUCACGCAGAACUCCGAUUGCGAAGGCAGCAUACCGGCGCCCGACUGACGCUGAGGCACGAAAGCGUGGGUAUCGAACAGGAUUAGAUACCCCAGUAAG
rnacentral:rRNA from 1 species